rnacentral:rRNA from 1 species
AGUGGCGGACGGCUGAGUAACACGUAGGUAACCUGCCCUUUACUGGGGGAUAACACCUCGAAAGAGGUGCUAAUACCGCAUAAGCCUGAGGUUGAAAUACCGUUGGUUAAAGAUUUAUCGGUAAAGGAUGGGCCUGCGCCUGAUUAGCUUGUUGGUAGGGUAAAGGCCUACCAAGGCAAUGAUCAGUAGUUGGUCUGAGAGGAUGACCAGCCAGAGUGGGACUGAGACACGGCCCACACUUCUACGGAAGGCAGCAGUAGGGAAUUUUGCGCAAUGGGCGAAAGCCUGACGCAGCAACACCGCGUGUAGGAUGAAGGCCUUCGGGUUGUAAACUACUGUCAGCAGGGAAUAAAUUGACUGUACCUGCAGAGGAAGCAUCGGCUAACUACGUGCCAGCAGCCGCGGUAAGACGUAGGAUGCAAGCGUUGUCCGGAUUUAUUGGGCGUAAAGAGUUCGUAGGCGGUUACUUAAGUCUGGUGUUAAAGACGGGAGCUCAACUCCCGCAUGGCAUUGGAAACUGGGUGACUAGAGUGUGGUAGAGGUAUCGGGAAUUCCAGGUGUAGCGGUGAAAUGCGUAGAUAUCUGGAGGAACACCAGUGGCGAAAGCGCGAUACUGGGCCAUAACUGACGCUGAGGAACGAAAGCCAGGGUAGCAAAAGGGAUUAGAUACCCCUGUAGUCCUGGCCGUAAACGAUGGAUACUAGGUGUUGGAGGAUUCGACCCCCUCAGUGCCGUAGCUAACGCGAUAAGUAUCCCGCCUGGGGAGUACGACCGCAAGGUUGAAACUCAAAGGAAUUGACGGGGGCCCGCACAAGCGGUGGAACAUGUGGUUUAAUUCGAUGCAACGCGAAGAACCUUACCUGGGCUU